rnacentral:rRNA from 1 species
CCUACGGGGGGCAGCAGUAGGGAAUUUUCGUCAAUGGGCGCAAGUCUGAACGAGCAAUGCCGCGUGAACGAGGAAGGUCUUCGGAUCGUAAAGUUCUGUUGAAGGGGAAAAAGAGCGGUGAGAGUAAAUGCUUCCUGAUUGAUAUUACUCUUCGAGGAAGUCACGGCUAACUACGUGCCAGCAGCCGCGAUAAUACGUAGGUGGCGAGCGUUAUCCGGAAUGUUUGGGCGUAAAGGGUGCGUAGGCGGCCUGCUAAGUCUGGAGUGAAAGGUACCGGCUCAACCGGUACAGGCUCUGGAAACUGGCGGACUAGAGAGCAGGAGAGGGCAGUGGAACUCCAUGUGUAGCGGUAAAAUGCGUAGAUAUAUGGAAGAACACCAGUGGCGAAGGCGGCCGCCUGGCCUGUUACUGACGCUGAGGCACGAAAGCGUGGGGAGCAAAUAGGAUUAGAUACCCCAGUAGUC